rnacentral:misc_RNA from 1 species
UUUAUAUUCGACGAUAAUAUGCACCUCUUCUCUUAAUUUCGAAUUUUUUCUUUCAUUAAAUUCUAUUCUUUUCGUUAUUAUUCUAUUCGCUACUUGAAGAAGAAAGAAGUUAAAAAAUUAUUUAAGUGGUCAAUUAUAUUUCGCGGUGAUGAUUUUGUUUAACGAUUUCUCGCGUUGUUUAUACGAAACACCAAAUUGAAGGCAUACAUUAAAAGUAUGAAAAGUAUAGGUAAAAUUAAAAACAUCAAAGAUAAUUAAAGAUAAACAGCACGACUUGAACGUGAUAUUGAACAUUCAAAAUGAGUUACUUAGUCGUAACUGAUGGUAUAACUUUUGCAUUAGUUUUUACACCACUCAAUUGGUGUAUUUUAUUUUAUCACAUGCUGUUUACACGAAACAUCAAAUUGAGGAUAUACAUUAAAGGUAUAAGAAGUAUAGGUAAAAUUAAAAACAUCAAAGAUGACUAAAGAUAAAUAACGCGGUUUGAACGUAAUAUUAAAAAUUCAAAAUGCAUUUAAUUAGUCGUAACUGAUGUUGUAACUUUUGAAUUAAUUUCUACACCACUCAAUUGUUGUAUUUUAUUAUAUCACAUAUUGUUUAGCGAACCUAUACGCUGUACACUCACUACUUGAAGAACAAAGAAAUUUGAAAAUUAUUUAAAUGGUCAAUUAUAUUCCGCGGUGACGAUUUUGUUUAACGAUUUCACACGUUGUUGACACGAAACAUCAAAGAUGACUAAAGAUAAAUAACACAAUAAUAUUAAAAAUUCAAAAUGCAUUUAAUUAGUCAUAACUGAUGGUGUAACUUUUGAAUUAAUUUUUACACCACUCGAUUGGUGUAUUUUAUCAUAUAGCGUACUUCAUAAAAAUAGAAAAAGUGGCGUAAUUAAUUGUUAACAAUUCCAGGUAAACAAUAUAUAAUAACAAAUAAAAAAACAAAAAAAAAAA